CGCACUCCUACGGGAGGCAGCAGUGGGGAAUAUUGCACAAUGGGCGCAAGCCUGAUGCAGCCAUGCCGCGUGUAUGAAGAAGGCCUUCGGGUUGUAAAGUACUUUCAGCAGUGAGGAAGGUGGGUAUGUUAAUAGCAUACUCAUUUGACGUUAGCUGCAGAAGAAGCACCGGCUAACUCCGUGCCAGCAGCCGCGGUAAUACGGAGGGUGCGAGCGUUAAUCGGAAUUACUGGGCGUAAAGCGCAUGCAGGUGGUUUGUUAAGUCAGAUGUGAAAGCCCGGGGCUCAACCUCGGAAUUGCAUUUGAAACUGGCAAACUAGAGUACUGUAGAGGGGGUAGAAUUUCAGGUGUAGCGGUGAAAUGCGUAGAGAUCUGAAGGAAUACCGGUGGCGAAGGCGGCCCCCUGGACAGAUACUGACACUCAGAUGCGAAAGCGUGGGGAGCAAACAGGAUUAGAUACCCUGGUAG
rnacentral:rRNA from 1 species